AUUGAACGCUGGCGGCAGGCCUAACACAUGCAAGUCGAACGCGUGGCGGACGGGUGAGUAAUGUCUGGGAAACUGCCCGAUGGAGGGGGGUAACUACUGGACACGGUAGCUAAUACCGCCUACCAUCGGAUGUGCCCAGAUGGGAUUAGCUUGUAGGUGAGGUAACGGCUCACCUAGGCGACGAUCCCGAGCUGGUCUGAGAGGAUGACCAGCAACAAUGGAACUGAGACACGGUCCAGACUCCUAAGGGAGGCAGCAGUGGGGAAUAUGGCACAAUGGGGGCAAGCCUGAUGCAGCCAUGCCGCGUGUAUGAAGAAGUCCUUCGGGUUGUAAAGUACUUUCAGCGGGGAGGCGUUACCUGCAGAAGAAGCACCGGCUAACUCCGUGCCAGCAGCCGCGGUAAUAC
rnacentral:rRNA from 1 species